rnacentral:rRNA from 1 species
UACAGAGGUCUCAAGCGUUGUUCGGAUUCAUUGGGCGUAAAGGGUGCGUAGGCGGCCAGGUAGGUCUGGUGUGAAAACUCGAGGCUCAACCUCGAGAUGUCAUCGGAAACCAUCUGGCUAGAGUCCGGAAGAGGAGAGUGGAAUUCCCGGUGUAGCGGUGAAAUGCGCAGAUAUCGGGAGGAACACCGGUGGCGAAGGCGGGUCUCUGGACAGUUCCUGACGCUGAGGCACGAAGGUCAGGGGAGCAAACGGG